CUCAAUUCAUUUGCCAGAGUAGUAUCAUCUGCAGCUGUCAAUGAAGUGUCCUGCCAGUUCUUUACGAUAGUAUUAGGUGAAAACAAUUAUGGAAAGUCUUCAUGAAGAACCAACAGUGUGUGAAAUACCUGAGAUUUAUGCAUGCCAGUUGUGAUAAGUGAUGUUAUUCUAGACGUGGAGACAGAGUACCACUCUAAGGAAGAUGUAAUGGAAAUACCUUAAUCUGUUUAGUAUCUCUUAUUUGAUUACUCUGAAAUAACCAAAGUUAUGCUGGUUAUUUGUCAUGUAAUCUAAUUGCACACAGUAUGGUUUUUCUUUUUUCUUUAGGUAAUAUAGUGCUAGACUGUAUAAUAGCUUCUCAAAAUAAUUUCAAAUAAUUUAACAUUUUUAGACAUUGGUAUUUUAGUUUGGAAUUAAUACCACAUUAUUUAUCUGUUAUUUUACUACAGAUAUCCCAGGAAUGUGAAAGAGGAGUUAAUGAAAUUUAACCACAGCAAAUUGAGAGUAUACAAUUUUUAAAAUUGAAAAGCUACAGAAAGUAAUGAGACUAAAUUAGAGGUUUUAAUCACAUGGAACUCAUGACUCUGAAAUGAACCCAUUUUGAGGAGCUGUUGACUUUGGCUACUAUUGAUUUGGCUGAACUUAGAAAGAAUACUCUCACUUUCGUUAUAUAUUGUUCUUGCUCUCUAAAUUAACUCCAUUAUGCAAUAUUCCACUCAAGCAAAGGUGGCAGAAAUGACUGAAGUUACAGAUUUCCAAAUAACCUUUAUAAACAGAUAAGAAUGUCUGCAAACAUGCUUAAGUUUCAGUGUUCUUGGAUUAUUUUUCAGAAAAAAAAAUGAUGUCAUAAAACUCUUAACUUUGAUAUUUCUUAAGAGUACCUUUUAUAUAAACUGUUCAGCCAGUGCUAAAUUUCCAUAGAUUUCUUUUUACUAUAAAUAUAAAUCUCAAAUAUUUUUGACAUUAGAAAUCACACUAAACCUUUAUAUUCUAAGACAUCAGGGGUUCUCUAGGUGCAAUCCUUGAAAUAAGAAGUGAUUUUUAAUACAGAACUAUAUCCACAAGCAUCUUAAUCAUUUUGUAUUUUUGUGUUUGUUUUAGUCUUUUUGUAUUUAAUGUAAUGAAAAUGGCAAAGAGGUUUGAUUGGAUUCUGGGUCAUCUCCA
rnacentral:lncRNA from 1 species